AGCUUUGCAUAGUGGCAGUAUCAUAACCAAUGAGGUUUAUCCAAGUUGCAAUUAUUGCUAAUUGAAAACUUUUCAUUAGGGCUGGAAAAAUUGUCACGGAAUCCUGGGCACAAGAUAAGCCUG
rnacentral:snRNA from 1 species